AGAGUUUGAUCCUGGCUCAGGAUGAACGCUGGCGGCGUGCCUAACACAUGCAAGUUGAGCGAUUUACUUCGGUAAAGAGCGGCGGACGGGUGAGUAACGCGUGGGUAACCUACCCUGUACACACGGAUAACAUACCGAAAGGUAUGCUAAUACGGGAUAAUAUAUUUGAGAGGCAUCUCUUGAAUAUCAAAGGUGAGCCAGUACAGGAUGGACCCGCGUCUGAUUAGCUAGUUGGUAAGGUAACGGCUUACCAAGGCGACGAUCAGUAGCCGACCUGAGAGGGUGAUCGGCCACAUUGGAACUGAGACACGGUCCAAACUCCUACGGGAGGCAGCAGUGGGGAAUAUUGCACAAUGGGCGAAAGCCUGAUGCAGCAACGCCGCGUGAGUGAUGAAGGCCUUCGGGUCGUAAAACUCUGUCCUCAAGGAAGAUAAUGACGGUACUUGAGGAGGAAGCCCCGGCUAACUACGUGCCAGCAGCCGCGGUAAUACGUAGGGGGCUAGCGUUAUCCGGAUUUACUGGGCGUAAAGGGUGCGUAGGCGGUCUUUCAAGUCAGGAGUGAAAGGCUACGGCUCAACCGUAGUAAGCUCUUGAAACUGGGAGACUUGAGUGCAGGAGAGGAGAGUGGAAUUCCUAGUGUAGCGGUGAAAUGCGUAGAUAUUAGGAGGAACACCAGUUGCGAAGGCGGCUCUCUGGACUGUAACUGACGCUGAGGCACGAAAGCGUGGGGAGCAAACAGGAUUAGAUACCCUGGUAGUCCACGCUGUAAACGAUGAGUACUNNUUGGUUAGAGCGCCCGGCUCAUAACCGGUAGGUCUGGGGUUCGAGUCCCUGAUGGCCCACCACAUUAAAUUAACUUAUGGUGGGUAUAGCUCAGUUGGUUAGAGCGCCAGAUUGUGGCUCUGGAGGUCGUGAGUUCGACUCUCAUUAUCCACCCCAACUUAUAUGGUCUAUUAGCUCAGUCGGUAGAGCACCUGACUUUUAAUCAGGGUGUCCCGCGUUCGAGUCGCGGAUAGAUCACCAAAAAGGCGGCGACAUAGCCAAGUGGUAAGGCAGUGGACUGCAACUCCUUGAUCCCCAGUUCGAAUCUGGGUGUCGCCUCCAAUAAAAUGCGCUCAUAGCUCAACUGGAUAGAGUGUCUGACUACGAAUCAGAAGGUUAGGGGUUCGAGUCCCUUUGGGCGCACCAUAUGAAUAGCGAGGGAUUAUAGCUCAGCUGGGAGAGCACCUGCCUUACAAGCAGGGGGUCACAGGUUCGAGCCCUGUUAAUCCCACCAGUGCAAACCUCUAGUAAAACUACUAGAGGUUUUAUUUUUGAUUGAAAAAGUUUUUAUAUUUAGGAGGUAAAAAAUUUGUAUAUAGUAAUAGGAAAUGAAAUAGUUGAUAGUGAAGAACUUAAAAUAAUUAUAGAUAAAAAUAGUGAAUUUAAAGUUGAAAAAGAUUUAAGUAAAAGCACAAAAAGAGAAGAUGUAAUAGCAUAUCAGUUAAGUAUAGAUUUAAAUUACCUAGAUUCUCUUAUAAAUGAGCAAUGUAAUUUAGCCAGUCUAUCUGAUGAAGAGAAAUUUGAUGAAUAUAUGACUUUGUCUGAUGAACUUGCACUGGAUUUAGAAGAGUUAAUGCCAAAAUAUACAAUAAUAAAUGCUAGAGCAUAUAAAUUAGACGAGGUAGAUGGAAUUGUAAAAAUAAUACUAGCUGUAGCGUAUGCAGAUUUAGGGCACUUAAAACUUUCUGAUGUAGUAAAGAGGCUAUCUAGACAAGUAGAUUAGGAUAUGAAUAUGAACUAUAUUAAAAAAAUGUAUAAAAUCUUACGUAAAGAUGAAAAUAAUUAUGUAAACAUAGAAAAAAACAGUAUAAAAUCAAGUCAAUUGUAGAAAUUUUCACAUAAAUUCAUCUGAAAUUCUAUAAAAAAUGCCUUAAUUUUAAUGAGGUAAAUCGAGUUUACACAGUCUAAAAAUUACUUAUAUUUAUAAAUUUAUCUUAUUAAUUAAGGAACUUUCUUAAACAUCUUCAAAAAUAAAGUAUUUUAGUCUAUAAUCUUUAAUAUUACACAAACAAUAAAGGAGAAGAAUAGAGUAUGCUUAAAAAGUUUAAUAAAAUACUAGUGGCUAAUAGAGGCGAAAUAGCUAUAAGAAUAUUUAGAGCCUGUUCAGAAUUGGGGAUAAAAAGUGUUGGUAUAUACAGUAAGGAAGAUAAGUAUGGAUUGUUUAGAACAAAAGCGGAUGAAUCAUAUUUGAUAGGAGAAGGUAAAGGGCCAAUAGAUGCAUAUUUAGAUAUGGAUGGAAUAAUAGACCUAGCAAAGAGAAAAAAAGUUGAUGCUAUACAUCCAGGAUAUGGUUUUCUAGCGGAGAAUGCAGAAUUUGCUCGUAAAUGUGAAGAGAAUGGAAUUACUUUUAUAGGACCAUCAUCUAAGGUAAUGAAUAUGAUGGGGGAUAAGAUUAACUCUAAAAAAAUCGCAAAAGAAGUUAAUGUUCAAACUAUACCAGGAGUAGAAAAAGCAAUAAGAAGUACUGAAGAAGCAAAGGAAGUUGCAAACAAAAUAGGAUAUCCUGUUAUGAUAAAAGCAUCUAAUGGCGGUGGCGGUAGAGGUAUGAGAAUUGUACAUCGCGAAGAAGACUUAGAGCUUGAAUAUGAAACUGCUUGUAGUGAAUCAAGAAAAGCUUUUGGAGAAGAUAUUAUAUUUAUAGAAAAAUAUAUAGCUGAUCCAAAACAUAUAGAAGUUCAAAUAUUAGGUGAUAAUUAUGGAAAUAUAGUUCACUUAUAUGAAAGAGAUUGUUCAGUUCAAAGAAGACAUCAAAAAAUAAUAGAAUAUGCACCAGCUUUUUCGUUAGAUGAUAAAGUAAGAAAAGAGAUAUGUGAAGAUGCAGUUAAGUUAUCAAAACAUGUGGGUUAUUCUAAUGCGGGAACAUUAGAAUUUUUAGUAGAUGCAAAUGGUGGGCAUUAUUUUAUAGAGAUGAACACAAGAGUACAGGUUGAACAUACUGUAACAGAGAUGGUUACAGGAAUAGAUAUAGUUCAAAGUCAAAUACUAAUAGCCCAAGGUUACAGCUUAGAUAGUGAAGAAAUUAAUAUAAAAUCACAAGAUGAUGUGGAAAUAAGAGGUUACUCUAUCCAAUGUAGAAUAACUACAGAAGACCCUAAGAAUAAAUUCAUGCCUGAUACAGGUAAAAUUCAAGUUUAUAGAACUGGUUCAGGAUUUGGUAUAAGACUAGAUGGAGGAAAUGGAUUUACAGGGGCAAACAUAAGUCCU
rnacentral:rRNA from 1 species